AGCUUUGCGCAGUGGCAGUAUCGUAGCCAAUGAGGUUUAUCCGAGGCGCGAUUAUUGCUAAUUGAAAAGCUAGAGAUAGGAGUGAAGUAAGUCAGAAAGAGAAAAACAAAUACUGUAUGCUAACACAUAUAUAUGGAAUCUAGGGGAAAAAAAUGGUUCUGAAGAACCUAG
ensembl:snRNA U4 U4 spliceosomal RNA